rnacentral:rRNA from 1 species
UGGGGAUGACGUCAAAUCAUCAUGCCCCUUAGUGACCUGGGCUACACACGUGGCUACAAUGGGCGGUACAAAGGGUCGCGAACCCGCGAGGGGGAGCCAAUCCCAAAAAGACCGCUCUCAGUUCGGAUUGCAGGCUGCAACUCGCCUGCAUGAAGCCGGAAUCGCUAGUAAUCGCGGAUCAGCAUGCCGCGGUGAAUACGUUCCCGGGCCUU